UGGGGAAUAUUGGACAAUGGGCGAAAGCCUGAUCCAGCCAUGCCGCGUGUGUGAAGAAGGUCUUCGGAUUGUAAAGCACUUUAAGUUGGGAGGAAGGGCAUUAACCUAAUACGUUAGUGUUUUGACGUUACCUACAGAAUAAGCACCGGCUAACUCUGUGCCAGCAGCCGCGGUAAUACAGAGGGUGCAAGCGUUAAUCGGAAUUACUGGGCGUAAAGCGCGCGUAGGUGGUUUGUUAAGUUGGAUGUGAAAUCCCCGGGCUCAACCUGGGAACUGCAUUCAAAACUGACUGACUAGAGUAUGGUAGAGGGUGGUGGAAUUUCCUGUGUAGCGGUGAAAUGCGUAGAUAUAGGAAGGAACACCAGUGGCGAAGGCGACCACCUGGACUAAUACUGACACUGAGGUGCGAAAGCGUGGGGAGCAAACA
rnacentral:rRNA from 1 species